rnacentral:rRNA from 1 species
AAUGAACGCUGGCGGCAUGCCUUACACAUGCAAGUCGAACGGUAACAGGCCGCAAGGUGCUGACGAGUGGCGAACGGGUGAGUAAUGCAUCGGAACGUGCCCAGUCGUGGGGGAUAACUGCUCGAAAGAGCAGCUAAUACCGCAUACGACCUGAGGGUGAAAGCGGGGGACCGUAAGGCCUCGCGCGAUUGGAGCGGCCGAUGUCAGAUUAGCUAGUUGGUGGGGUAAAGGCCUACCAAGGCAACGAUCUGUAGUUGGUCUGAGAGGACGACCAGCCACACUGGGACUGAGACACGGCCCAGACUCCUACGGGAGGCAGCAGUGGGGAAUUUUGGACAAUGGGCGCAAGCCUGAUCCAGCAAUGCCGCGUGCAGGAAGAGGGCCUUCGGGUUGUAAACUGCUUUUGUCAGGGAGGAAAUCUUCUGGGCUAAUACCCCGGGAGGAUGACGGUACCUGAAGAAUAAGCACCGGCUAACUACGUGCCAGCAGCCGCGGUAACAC